CCCCUAGAUGUUCUGGGCCGCACGCGCGCUACACUGAACAGUUCAACAAGUCUUAACCUUGGCCGAUAGGUCUGGGUAAUCUUUGAACGCUGUUCGUGAUUGGGAUAGACCUUUGCAAUUAUGGGUCUUCAACGAGGAAUUCCUAGUAAACGCAAGUCAUCAGCUUGCAUAGAUUACGUCCCUGCCCUUUGUACACACCGCCCGUCGCACCUACCGAUUGAAUGGUCCGGUGAAAUCUCGGGACGGCGGCUUGGUCGCUUGCGUCCGACUGCUGAAACUUGAUUAAACCAUAUCAUUUAGAGGAAGGUGAANUCGUANCA
rnacentral:rRNA from 1 species